rnacentral:rRNA from 1 species
UACGUAGGGGGCAAGCGUUGUCCGGAUUUAUUGGGCGUAAAGAGCGUGUAGGCGGCCAUACAGGUCCGUUGUGAAAACUGGAGGCUUAACCUCCAGACGUCGAUGGAAACCGUAUGGCUAGAGUCCGGAAGAGGAGAGUGGAAUUCCUGGUGUAGCGGUGAAAUGCGCAGAUAUCAGGAGGAACACCGGUGGCGAAGGCGGAUCUCUGGGCCUUGCCUGACGCUGAGGCGCGAAAGCUAGGGGAGCGAACAGG